rnacentral:rRNA from 1 species
AUCAGUUUGGUUUGCUUGCAAACCAAAGCUGGCGACCGGCGCACGGGUGAGUAACACGUAUCCAACCUGCCUCAUACUCGGGGAUAGCCUUUCGAAAGAAAGAUUAAUAUCCGAUAGCAUAUAUUUCCCGCAUGGGUUUUAUAUUAAAGAAAUUCGGUAUGAGAUGGGGAUGCGUUCCAUUAGUUUGUUGGCGGGGUAACGGCCCACCAAGACUACGAUGGAUAGGGGUUCUGAGAGGAAGGUCCCCCACAUUGGAACUGAGACACGGUCCAAACUCCUACGGGAGGCAGCAGUGAGGAAUAUUGGUCAAUGGACGCGAGUCUGAACCAGCCAAGUAGCGUGAAGGAUGACUGCCCUAUGGGUUGUAAACUUCUUUUAUAUGGGAAUAAAGUGGUCCACGUGUGGAUUUUUGUAUGUACCAUAUGAAUAAGGAUCGGCUAGCUCCGUGCCAGCAGCCGCGGUAAUACGGAGGAUCCGAGCGUUAUCCGGAUUUAUUGGGUUUAAAGGGAGCGUAGGCGGAUUGUUAAGUCAGUUGUGAAAGUUUGCGGCUCAACCGUAAAAUUGCAGUUGAUACUGGCAGUCUUGAGUGCAGUAGAGGUGGGCGGAAUUCGUGGUGUAGCGGUGAAAUGCUUAGAUAUCACGAAGAACUCCGAUUGCGAAGGC